rnacentral:rRNA from 1 species
GCCGGAGGAGGCAAUCGUUAUCCGGAAUCAUUGGGCGUAAAGCGUCCGUAGGUGGCUUGGUAAGUCGGCUGUCAAAUCACAUGGCUCAACCAUGUAACGGCAGUGGAAACUGCUAGGCUAGAGUGCGGUAGGGGUAGCGGGAAUUCCCGGUGUAGCGGUGAAAUGCGUAGAUACUGGGAAGAACAUCGGUGGCGAAAGCGCGCUACUGGGUCGCAACUGACACUGAGGGACGAAAGCUAGGGGAGCGAAUGGG